rnacentral:lncRNA from 1 species
GGUGGGUGCCUCUUUGUGACUCCUAAGGCCCCUCGAUGCCCAAUCCCAGCCUGGACUCAGGUGUCCCCUGCCCAAUUGUAGGAGUCUUGGGGCAGGAAUGGCAGUGUUCCUCUCUGCCUCCAGGUGCUACAUGGUACCCAGAAGUGCUCCUGGCAGGGAGUGGGGGUGGGCAGGCAGGUUAGCUCAGUAGUUUAUUCACCUCAGACUUUGAUGCUCUUCUCUUUUGCCACUGCCUCACAAUCACAAUAUGGUUGCUGAAGUUCCAGACAUUCUAUCCCACAUCCUCUUACCUUUAUCGUUUUGGUGUGCAUCACGCCAGUUGAACUUUAAACUUCCAGCAUCAGUACCUCUGAGGGAUUUCUUAGUACCCACAGCUUGACUGUGGGAGAGGAUUAACACCCUGACGGAUGGGAGUUAGUGGAUCAGAUCAGUGUUUUGCUGAUCUAGCCCUUAGCUGGCAGAGCUCGGAGGUAUGUGACCUUUGCUAUCUCCCAGGGGGCUUGAAUGCUGGUUGCCCGUGGUGGUCACCUGCUCACUUACACUCCUUCCCAUUCCUAUGUCACUUCCCACUUCCCCCCAGGGGUUCCCUCACUUUCCCUCAACUCCUCGGCCGCAGUCUGCAGGCUGUCCCUGCAAAGGCCAGCCAGGCUGUGGGGGAAGGGAUCUGGGCCUCUGCUCCCCUGGGACCUGGUUUCCUCAUCUCUAAAAGGGGACUGAAGGUUCCACCUCUCGAAGGUGAUGUCCAGGAACCGACUUGCAGGAAAGGUUGCCGAGACGCAGGGCUUCCGGGGAGCAGGCACGAGGACCCUGUCUUUCUCCACAGGCCCCUGGGGUCAGCUAAGGCUGUAGCAAUGUGAGCAAAUGAAUGACAUGCAUGAGUUCAACAGCUUGGCCGGUUCCGCCUUCCUUCCCUCCCACCUGCCCAACCUCAUACCUGAGAGUUUACUGGGGACAGUGGGGCGGGGGCAAGCAAUGCUGACCUAAGAGGGUGGCAAGGGCUUCCCUGGGGGCUCAGUGGGAAAGACUCCGCCUACCAACCCAGGAGACUUGGGUUCAAACCCUGGUCCAGGAAGAUCCCACACCCCGAGGAGCAACUGAGCCCGUACAGCUAUUGAGGCGGUGCGCUAGAGCCUGGGGGCCACAGCUACUGAGCCUGCGUGCCCUAGAGCCCACGCUCUGCAUGAAGGGAAGCCGCCGCAGUGAGAAGCCUGCUCACCUCAACUAGAGAAAAGGCCCAGCAGCACUCCCCCUCCUCCCCUCCCUCCUCUCCCUCCUCCUCCUCUUCCCUCCUCCUCCUCUUCCCUCCUCACCCCUUCU